GAGAGAGAGAUUUCCUUUGACACACCCUUCCUCUCAGCCUCCAGGUUCUCACUCAGGGUUCAUCCACAAAAGUCUCACAAUGAUAAGAGGUCCUGUAAACAGUGGCCACCAGCCUGGUCUCACUUUGGGCUUGAGGAGGGAGGGGUGGUGGUUGAUGUUAAAGAGCAGGAGAAAGGCCAGAAAAUAAUGUUAUAUUGCUUAAUGUAACAGAAACUCCCGUGGUCUAUUUGAUGGGUUCUGCAGCUUCACCGGAAUAUUGUGGAAACUUCCCUACUGAACAAGAGGAAAGGAAAAUAAAGAGAAAUAUUUCAAAAAGAUGCAGAGAGGGCGAGACUACGAUCCUACACUGAUUUACCUGGGAGUAAAACCCCAUUGAACUUGAUGCAACUUACUUCUAAGCAGGGCACAAGGAGAAGGGGACAACAGAGGACGAGAUGGUUGAACAGUGUUCUCGAAGCUACCAACACGAGUCUGACCAAACUGCGGGAGGCAGUGGAAGACAGGAGUGCCUGGUGUGCUCUGGUCCAUGGGGUCACAAAGAGUCAGAAACGACUAAACAACAACAACAAAGGCUGCUCCAGCAAGGCAGGAAGAGAGCUAGUCUACCACAUAUCCAGAGUUUCCAGAGUUUCCAUGAUGUGACUAAGGAUCACUUGAACCAAAGCACAAUUAACAGCUCUGAUUCUGGUAUCAUACGAGGAAGAAGCAAUAACCGAAAGGCGCCCAAAAGAACCACCUGCCUCGUUCCAACUUAUCAGAAGAGAACUCCUGCAGUGGAUCAGAUCAAACCACCUCUAAACCUAAGAUGUUUUAAUUCCAAGUCAUCUAAGCUCUCUCCCUGCCUGUCCCCAAAUUAAAAUUGAUUGACAAUUCCUAAACUAGAGAACACCACACUGAAUACAAAUACAUUGCUAUAAUCAAUUCUAUCUGAAUUUUUAAAAUAUGUAUGUCAAUUCCUUUUGCAUAUUUAUGCUGCCCCCAAGUAAAUGCUAAAAAUGCUAAUGUGUAAAAGAUUCAAUUUUUUAUAUUUAGAGACAGUGUUAUUUUAUCCUUCUGUUUUUAACAAACUUCAUGCAUAUGCGUCUGCACUGAAAAAAAAAUCUAAAAAUGAAUAAAAACAAUUCUCCACUGCUUACCAAGGGAAUAAUAAGAAACGAUUUGAUAUUAUGCCAUUAUUUAUUGUGAUAAAAUCUUAUACAAAUAAUGUAUCUAUUCUGUGUGACUCCACUUAAACUGAACUAGCUUCAUACCAAUUUAGAUCUGUAUUUUCCCAGUUAGUGUGCCGACAUAACAUACAAUUGAGACUUCUUUUAUUUAGUUCUUUGGCUUUGAGCAAUGUAAUAUUUGUGGCUAAGAACCAGCUAAGUUAAUUUCUGCAUGUGUGUUGGCUGUUCAAUUUAUCCUGACUUCCUGCAUACUUAUUUUAAAUGCAUGGUUAAACCUAAUGUGCAUAAAACCAACACAUAAAACCAAAAGCUCUUGUGAAAUUAAUUUUCUUUAAAACUACAGGCAAGCUCGAAGGCAGUUUUGUUUCCACACUGCAAUAUAUUUAAAACCACCACACACACGACUUUCAGCAGGUAUAAUACUACUGAA